rnacentral:ncRNA from 3 species
CACCGCCCGUCACACCCUGGGAAUUGGUUUCGCCCGAAGCAUCGGACCAAUGAUCACCCAUGACUUCUGUGUACCACUAGUGCCACAAAGGCCUUUGGUGGUCUUAUUGGCGCAUACCACGGUGGGGUCUUCGACUCGGGUGAAGUCGUAACAAGGUAGCCGUAGGGGAACCUGUGGCUG